UACGGGGGGAGCAAGCGUUGUUCGGAUUUACUGGGCGUAAAGGGCGCGUAGGCGGCACCGCAAGUCGACUGUGAAAUCUCCGGGCUUAACUCGGAAAGGUCAGCCGAUACUGCGGGGCUAGAGUGCAGAAGGGGCAACUGGAAUUCUCGGUGUAGCGGUGAAAUGCGUAGAUAUCGAGAGGAACACCUGCGGCGAAGGCGGGUCUCUGGGCAAUUCCUGACGCUGAGGCGCGAAAGCGUGGGGAGCAAACGGG
rnacentral:rRNA from 1 species